rnacentral:lncRNA from 1 species
AGAGCUACGGUGACUCAGCGCCUGCGCCGUAGGCGCAUCUUCGCUCUGUUGGCCGUGGCUUUAGUUAGCGCACAGCUGUGUUUUACUCUGGUUAUCGUGGCGUCGGCAGGUCUGGAUUGCCAGACCGGUUUUUCUUUUUACCUCGAGGCUUUCUCUGAAGGGAGUCGGAGCAUUUAAAAGGCGGCCUCGAGGGGGAUUGAGUCGGGGGAGAAUUAGCAGUAUUUGCUUAGGUUGUAAAACCGCGACUUUGUCUAAUAAAUCGCCAUUCAAGGUGCAAAUACAAACUUGGAACAGAGAUUGCAUUUGGGUUUAAACAGAGGACUUAAUCAUAGCAUGGACAGAAAAAGCUCAGCAUCUAUCUAAAUGACUCUAAUUGCACCAUCAUCCUCAUUUUUCUUAUGGAGUCUCGCUCUGUCACCCAGGCUGGAGUGGAGUGACGCGAUCU